rnacentral:rRNA from 1 species
UACGUAGGGUGCAAGCGUUAAUCGGAAUUACUGGGCGUAAAGCGUGCGCAGGCGGUUUUGUAAGUUUGUCGUGAAAUCCCCGGGCUCAACCUGGGAAUGGCGAUGAAGACUGCAAGGCUAGAAUCUGGCAGAGGGGGGUAGAAUUCCACGUGUAGCAGUGAAAUGCGUAGAGAUGUGGAGGAACACCGAUGGCGAAGGCAGCCCCCUGGGUCAAGAUUGACGCUCAUGCACGAAAGCGUGGGGAGCAAACGAGGAUUAGAGUACCCGAGUGAUGCC